rnacentral:rRNA from 1 species
UGGGGAAUUUUGGACGAAUUGGGCGCAAGCCUGAUCCAGCCAUGCCGCGUGCGGGAAGAAGGCCUUCGGGUUGUAAACCGCUUUUGNCAGGGAAGAAAUCUUCUGAGUUAAUACCUCGGGAGGAUGACGGUACCUGAAGAAUAAGCACCGGCUAACUACGUGCCAGCAGCCGCGGUAAUACGUAGGGUGCAAGCGUUAAUCGGAAUUACUGGGCGUAAAGCGUGCGCAGGCGGUUUUGUAAGACAGAGGUGAAAUCCCCGGGCUCAACCUGGGAACUGCCUUUGUGACUGCAAGGGCUUGAGUGCGGCAGAGGGGGAUGGAAUUCCGCGUGUAGCAGUGAAAUGCGUAGAUAUGCGGAGGAACACCGAUGGCGAAGGCGAUCCCCCUGGGCCUGCACUGACGCUCAUGCACGAAAGCGUGGGGAGC